rnacentral:rRNA from 1 species
GACGAACGCUGGCGGCGUGCUUAACACAUGCAAGUCGAACGGAAAGGCCUGCUUUCCCUUGUGGAUUGCGGGUACUCGAGUGGCGAACGGGUGAGUAACACGUGAGUGAUCUGCCCCCAACUUGGGUAUAAGCCUGGGAAACUGGGUCUAAUUCCCGAUAGGACUGCAGGGUGGUGCCUGUGGUGGAAAACGAUUUUCUAGUGGUUGGGGAUGAGCUCGCGGCCUAUCAGCUUGUUGGUGGGGUAAUGGCCGACCAAGGCGGCGACGGGUAGCCGGCCUGAGAGGGUGGACGGCCACAUUGGGACUGGGAUACGGCCCAGACUCCUACGGGAGGCAGCAGUGGGGAAUAUUGCACAAUGGGCGGAAGCCUGAUGCAGCGACGCCGCGUGGGGGAUGACGGGCUUCGGGUUGUAAACUCCUUUCGACCGCGAGGAAGCCACCUGGUUGGAAGGGUGGUGACGGUAGUGGUAGAAGAAGCACCGGCUAACUACGUG